CACAGAAUGUAAUAAACCAAGGAUCAUCAUUAAUCCAGUUCUGCUUAGCUGUGUU
rnacentral:snoRNA from 1 species